rnacentral:rRNA from 1 species
UACGGGGGGAGCAAGCGUUGUUCGGAUUUACUGGGCGUAAAGGGCGCGCAGGCGGCUGCUCAAGUCAGGCGUGAAAGGCCUGGGCUCAACCCGGGAAUUGCGCUUGAGACUGGGCUGGCUUGAGUGCGGGAGAGGAUGGUGGAAUUCCCAGUGUAGAGGUGAAAUUCGUAGAUAUUGGGAAGAACACCGGUGGCGAAGGCGGGUCUCUGG